CUUUCACUUUGUUUCUUUCCAACAGAAAAAUGCUGGUUUGUGGACACUGGAAAUUUCAUAAAUACCACUCUCUGGAAAGCCAGGAAUAAUGGUCAAUUGCAAAAAUAAGAUAUGGCAGUUCUUCUGGAAAGUUGGAUGCUUGGUGCAUAGAAAUGUUAUUAUAUUUUGGUGGUGAUAAAAAUGAAUAUUAGCAACUCUGAAAAUCCAACAUGUGUUACCUUGUUUUUUGAGAGUAUAUUGAAGAAAAUUCUAAAGAUUAUGUUAUUUCAGCCAUAUAUACAUGAGUAUGGACCGCUAAUAAAAACAUUUAUUUUUGUAAUAUAAGCAUCAUUAUAAUAGCUAACAAAAUUAACAAUGAUUACCUAAUUCUAUGUAAUAGCCAGUUUGUAUUGAAAGUUUUCUAAUUGUCUGAAAGAGUCUUUUUGUAGUUGAUUUGAAUACGGAUUGAAAGAAGAUAACACAUUGCAUUUGACAUUUAUGUCUCUUAAGUGGCUUUACGUCCUAACGGUCUCCCCUUCUAUUUUUCACCAUGCCACAGUUUAGUUGAAGAAAUUGAAUCUUGUAGUCUGUCGAAUGUCAGUACCCUGGCUUUGGCUUAUUAUUUCCUUAUAGUAUCAUUUACCUUGUCUCUCUAUCCCCUAUAUUUCUUGAAUAAUUAUAGUAAUGUAUAUACAGAGAGGACUGGACUGAUAUCCAGUUCUUUGAUAAGACAUCCUGAUUGUGCUCUGUACUUCCUAGUGUAUCACAUCAGGAGGCACAUAAUGUCUGCUUGUUUCACUUCUGUUAAUUCUUCAAUUGACCAGUGCAUUUAAGUAGUAUCAGCCUGAUCCUUCCAUUAAGAGAUUUUUAUUAACUUUUGACCUGAUUAGUUUAAAGUUUAUUGGUUAUUAUCCCUAUCUGUUAUUUAGAGUUUGGAAAAUAGCGAUAUUCUAAUUUCACCAUUUUAUCUGUACUUGUUUGCUGUAGCUCUUCUGUCAAGAGGAGUUUUAUUUGGCUAACUUUUUCAGUAAGAAAAAUAGGGUUGUACUAUAUCAGAUGUUUCAACGUAUUGCAGUCUCUAUGCUCUUUGAAGCUCAAUUUCAUAUAAUUUAGGCCAGUAGGAGUCCCAUCAAAUUGGUUCCUAUAGCCUUUAGACAUGGUAUCCUAGGAUCAUCUUUUGCAUUUUGCACCCCAGACCUGGUAUCAGUCAUGUCUCCAUAAAGUACUGUCCCUUUAGUGGGAAAUAAUAUUUAGAGACCAUGAUCUGGGCUCUAAUGGUAUUCUUUACUAGUGGGUUAACAUUGUUUCUAGGCCUUUCCAAUGGAACAGAGCUAGGAAAUAUAUAC
rnacentral:lncRNA from 10 species